rnacentral:rRNA from 1 species
AAUUGGAGGGCAAGUCUGGUGCCAGCAGCCGCGGUAAUUCCAGCUCCAAUAGCGUAUAUUAAAGUUGUUGCAGUUAAAAAGCUCGUAGUUGAACUUCGGGACCGGUGGGUUGGUCGUGCCUCCGGUACGUACUGGUCUUACUGGCUCCUCCCUCCUGAAGAACCACGAUGUCAUUAAUUUGGUGUCGUGGGGAAUCAGGACUGUUACUUUGAAAAAAUUAGAGUGUUUAAAGCAGACUAAAGCUUGAAUAGAUUAGCAUGGAAUAACGAAAUAGGACGUUUGAUCUUAUUUUGUUGGUUUCUAAGAUCGACGUAAUGAUUAAUAGGGAUAGUUGGGGGCAUUAGUAUUCAAUUGUCAGAGGUGAAAUUCUUGGAUUUAUUGAAGACUAACUACUGCGAAAGCAUUUGCCAAGGAUGUUUUCAUUAAUCAAGAACGAAAGUUAGGGGAUCGAAGACGAUCAGAUACCGUCGUAGUCUUAACCAUAAACUAUGCCGACUAGGGAUCGGAUGAUGUUAAUUUUUUAAUGACUCAUUCGGCACCUUACGGGAAACCAAAGUGU